AUUGAACGCUGGCGGCAGGCCUAAAACAUGCAAGUCGAACGCGUGGCGGACGGGUGAGUAAUGUCUGGGAAACUGCCUGAUGGAGGGGGAUACAUACUGGAAACGGUAGCUAAUACCGCAUACCAUCGGAUGUGCCCAGAUGGGAUUAGCUAGUAGGUGGGGGAAAGGCUCACCAAGGCGACGAUCACUAGCUGGUCUGAGAGGAAUACGAGCGAGCCUGGAACUGAGACACGGUCCAGACUGCUACGGGAGGCAGCAGUGGGGAAUAUUGCACAAUGGGCGCAAGCCUGAGGCAGCCAUGCCGCGUGUAUGAAGAAGGCCUUCGGGUUGUAAAGUACUUUCAGCGGGGAGGCGUUACCCGCAGAAGAAGAAACUGCUAACUCCGUGCCAGCAGCCGCGGUAAGUC
rnacentral:rRNA from 1 species